GAUGAAGAACGUAGCGAAAUGCGAUAAGUAAUGUGAAUUGCAGAAUUCAGUGAAUCAUCGAAUCUUUGAACGCACCUUGCGCCCUUUGGCUAUUCCGAAGGGCAUGCCUGUUUGAGUAUCAUGAACACCUCAACUCUCAUGGUUUGCCAUGAUGAGCUUGGACUUUGGGGGUCUUGCCGGCCUAUGGGUCGGCUCCUCUCAAAUUAAUCAGCUUGCCAGUGUUUGGUGGCAUCACAGGUGUGAUAACUAUCUACGCUUGUGGUUUUCCAUCAGGUAACCUUCAGUGAUGGAGGUUCGCUGGGGCUCAUAAAUGUCUCUCCUCAGGGAGGACAGCUUUUUUGAACGUUUGAUCUCAAAUCAGGUAGGACUACCCGCUGAACUUAAGCAUAUCAAUAAGCGGAGGA
rnacentral:misc_RNA from 1 species